AUACAGACCUGACAGGGGAGAUAGAGUUAGCAAGAACAUGGGUUUCUGAGGGUGACUUAUCCAUUGCACUUGGGAUAUGCUGACCUUUGUGAUUUUCCCAAAUUCAAGAAAUUGGACUUAAUAAUUUGUGGUAGUUGGGGACUGUGUUCCUGCUCUCCCCUG
rnacentral:snRNA from 1 species